UGGUAGUGAAUCAUCCGGGCAUUUGCCAUC
rnacentral:misc_RNA from 1 species